rnacentral:rRNA from 1 species
UUGGCUUAGAAGCAGCCAUCAUUUAAAGAAAGCGUAAUAGCUCACUGGUCGAGUCGGCCUGCGCGGAAGAUGUAACGGGGCUAAACCAUGCACCGAAGCUGCGGCAGCGACACUGUGUGUUGUUGGGUAGGGGAGCGUUCUGUAAGCCUGUGAAGGUGGCCUGUGAGGGUUGCUGGAGGUAUCAGAAGUGCGAAUGCUGACAUAAGUAACGAUAAAGCGGGUGAAAAGCCCGCUCGCCGGAAGACCAAGGGUUCCUGUCCAACGUUAAUCGGGGCAGGGUGAGUCGACCCCUAAGGCGAGGCCGAAAGGCGUAGUCGAUGGGAAACGGGUUAAUAUUCCCGUACUUGGUGUUACUGCGAAGGGGGGACGGAGAAGGCUAUGUUGGCCGGGCGACGGUUGUCCCGGUUUAAGCGUGUAGGUGUGUGUUCCAGGUAAAUCCGGUUCACUUUAACACUGAGGCGUGACGACGAGGCACUACGGUGCUGAAGCAACAAAUGCCCUGCUUCCAGGAAAAGCCUCUAAGCAUCAGGUAACAUCAAAUCGUACCCCAAACCGACACAGGUGGUCAGGUAGAGAAUACCAAGGCGCUUGAGAGAACUCGGGUGAAGGAACUAGGCAAAAUGGUGCCGUAACUUCGGGAGAAGGCACGCUGACACGUAGGUGAAGUGAUUUACUCACGGAGCUGAAGUCAGUCGAAGAUACCAGCUGGCUGCAACUGUUUAUUAAAAACACAGCACUGUGCAAACACGAAAGUGGACGUAUACGGUGUGACGCCUGCCCGGUGCCGGAAGGUUAAUUGAUGGGGUCAGCGCAAGCGAAGCUCCUGAUCGAAGCCCCGGUAAACGGCGGCCGUAACUAUAACGGUCCUAAGGUAGCGAAAUUCCUUGUCGGGUAAGUUCCGACCUGCACGAAUGGCGUAAUGAUGGCCAGGCUGUCUCCACCCGAGACUCAGUGAAAUUGAACUCGCUGUGAAGAUGCAGUGUACCCGCGGCAAGACGGAAAGACCCCGUGAACCUUUACUAUAGCUUGACACUGAACAUUGAGCCUUGAUGUGUAGGAUAGGUGGGAGGCUUUGAAGCGUGGACGCCAGUCUGCGUGGAGCCGACCUUGAAAUACCACCCUUUAAUGUUUGAUGUUCUAACGUGGACCCGUGAUCCGGGUUGCGGACAGUGUCUGGUGGGUAGUUUGACUGGGGCGGUCUCCUCCUAAAGAGUAACGGAGGAGCACGAAGGUUGGCUAAUCCUGGUCGGACAUCAGGAGGUUAGUGCAAUGGCAUAAGCCAGCUUGACUGCGAGCGUGACGGCGCGAGCAGGUGCGAAAGCAGGUCAUAGUGAUCCGGUGGUUCUGAAUGGAAGGGCCAUCGCUCAACGGAUAAAAGGUACUCCGGGGAUAACAGGCUGAUACCGCCCAAGAGUUCAUAUCGACGGCGGUGUUUGGCACCUCGAUGUCGGCUCAUCACAUCCUGGGGCUGAAGUAGGUCCCAAGGGUAUGGCUGUUCGCCAUUUAAAGUGGUACGCGAGCUGGGUUUAGAACGUCGUGAGACAGUUCGGUCCCUAUCUGCCGUGGGCGCUGGAGAACUGAGGGGGGCUGCUCCUAGUACGAGAGGACCGGAGUGGACGCAUCACUGGUGUUCGGGUUGUCAUGCCAAUGGCACUGCCCGGUAGCUAAAUGCGGAAGAGAUAAGUGCUGAAAGCAUCUAAGCACGAAACUUGCCCCGAG